rnacentral:lncRNA from 1 species
AAAAAGAGACUUUUGGGCUCCUGUGUUUUCUCUCUCUGGCUUUUCGUGAGAUUUUCUUCUUCAACCCUUUUUUUGGUUCUGAUUCUUGUGGUUUUUCAUGAGAUUAUUGUAAUUUUAGAAGUAUCAUAUGAAACUCUUCUUACUAUAGUAACUUUGGCUAGUUGUUUGGCCUUUGGUGUGUCGGGUUUGGUCCGUGGUUUGAGCCCCCAGAUUAGGCAUUUUGGUCGAACCGGGUGAACAAGUUAUUGCGUUCUUUACUUUUUCCUGUGAAUGAUUGGCUAUAUUUCACAAGAGCACACAAAAGAACGGUUAAAUUCCCAACAAAUCUAGUAUCAGAGCUUUAGGGCUUUUGGGACUUCGAGCCACUGUUUUUCUCCAAGAGGAUCAUUUCUUUAAUCCACGUUAACUGAUAUUUCUUAUUGAAUAUUUUUCUGAAAAAUCAUUAUUGACUAUUGUUUUUGGUACAGUGGCUGAAAGCCCUAACCGGAGAUCCUAGAUUCUUGGGAUUGAAAGGUGGAUUGAGUAUGUGUUUUAAUGUGUCAACCUUGUAGUGGGUGAGACCGUUCCAACUCUAUUAUUACUCAUAUUAACUGAAAAGCAUGCAUUUGUUGUUCUUAAAUAUUGGGGGAUACUAGUUAGUAAAUUUUUAAGAAUAAUUUCAGUCUUGUAUAUGAUAUCUAUAUAUGAUGGUCUUGAGGCAUGCUUUAAGUUGGUAAUCUCAAUAUACUGUUUGAUCUUGAGAUUUGUUACUGGUUGACUAUACUGUGAUAGCUUACAUACUCCUGUUAAUACUAUAUUGUCAUUCUUGAGUUUGUUUACCUUUUAAUUGUUGCAAAAGUUUUUCAAAACCUUUUCUGCACUUAAGUGAUCAACCAUUAAGAAUCACUUAUGUCCACUAGUAAUCAUCACCCUUUUACAGAAUCUGUAAUGGGUUCAAAGGUCGAGUUGUCUCAAUUCGAUGGAAAGGAGGAUUACUCGAUAUAGAAGCAGAAAAUGAUGGCUAUGUUAGUGCAACAAAGGGUCGCUAAGGCCCUGGAUGAUCCUGAAACUUUUUCUGUUGAAUUAAAGGCUAAACCUGAUGAAAUUCAAGAAAUGAAUAACAUUGCUUAUAGUUCAAUUAUCUUGCAUUUAUUUGAUAAUAUUGUGAGACAAGUUGAAGAUUCCAAAAUAUAAGAAAUUUGAUGAUGAAGACGUUGCAGUUAUACUACUUAACUCAUUACUGAAUCUUAUAGGGAUAUAAGAAAUGCCAUAAAAAUACUCAAGUAUAGUUAUGAAUGCCUUAAGAGCUAGAGAACUAGAGGUCAAAGAAAGAAACUAAAUCUCACACAGGAGAAGAGAGCACGUUUGUGAGAGGGAGAAUGGAAAAGAAAGAAAAUAAUAUCCAGAACAGAAAUUUUAAAUCAAAAUCAAGGGGUAGAUCCUAAUCUAGGGAUAAGCGUAAUAAAAAGUGUUAUCACUGUGGAAAACUUGGACACUUUAAAAGAGACUGCUUUGAAUUCAAGAAGAAAUAUAAAGACCAAAGUACUGUUGACUUGAACAAUGCUGUUGUUAGCCAUGAUUUAGAUAGUCUUCUUGUAAUGACUGUGUCUAGCGAUGAUAGUGACAAGGAAUGGAUCUUAGACUUAGGAUGCACAUUUCACAUGAGUCCUAACAAAUCUUAGUUUUAUAAUUACAAACCAAUUGAACCUAGGAAAGUGUACAUAGGAGAUAAUAACUCACAAACUGUAUAGGAAAUUGGUAACAUUGCUAUCAAAAUGCAUGAUAGCAUUGUGAGACAAAUCAAAAAUGUUAGGCAUGUCCCCAACUUAAAGAGAAACCUUAUCUUAGGAUCCUUGAAGAUGAAGGGUACAUAUUUAAAUCUGAUAAUAAUAUACUAAAAGUGAUGAAGGGAUUACUUAUUGUGUUGAAAGGACUCAAGAAGAAUGAAUUGUAUUAUCUUGCUGGAGAAAUCAUAACUACUUAAGAUAAUAGUUCUUUGGCUAUAACUGAGAAGGAGUCUGAACUUUGGCAUAACAAAUUGGGACAUAUUGGGAAUAAGGGCCUGAAAUAUCAAAGUAAUCAAAAUUUACUUGGGAAAGAUAUAAUAGAGCCCCUUCAAUUUUGUGAGACUUGUGUAUUAGAAAAAUCACAUAAGGUGAGUUUUAAUGUAGGGUCUCAUACUCCUAAUAGACCUUUAGAUUAUGUACAUUCUGACCCGUGGGAACCUGAAAGUCACCCCACCUUUGGAGGGAAUAGAUACUUCCUGUCUAUAAUUGAUUACUAUUCUAGGAAAGUUUGGGAUUACCCUCUAAGGGCCAAAUCUAAAACUUUCUAAAAAUUCAGAACCUGGCUUAAAAUGACAAAAACUCAGUUGAAUAAGAAACUAAAAACAUUAAGGACUGACAAUGGAUUGGAGCUCUAUAAUUCUGAAUUUGAGAACUUUUGUAAACAAAAAGGGAGAGUCAAACAUAGGACUGUUAGAAUCCCAGCAAAAUGGGGUUGCUAAAAAAAUGAACAGAACACUUAUGAAUAAAGUUAGAUGUCUUCUUAUUAGCUAAGGACUAGCAAAAGGGUUCUAGGUUGAGGCUGUUUGUACUGCUGCAUACCUUAUAAAUAGGUCCCCUAGUAGCUCCAUUGCCUUUAAAACACCCCAAGUGGACUAGAAAACGACCUGACCUAUCCCACAUUAGAGUGUUUGGAUGUACAGCAUAUGCACAUCAAACGGAAGGAAAAUUGGAUCCUAGGGCAACCAAAUGUGUUCUGCUAGGAUAUCCUAAAGGGGUAAAGGGCUAUAGGAUGUUGGUCUUAGAUGGCAAAGGUAUACAAAUAAUCAACAGUAGGAAUGUUGUGUUUAAUGAAUCUGAAAUGCCAUGUUUAAAGAAUAAAACUGAAAAACAUGUUGACCCAAAUAAAAGAGACAUUCCUACUAGUGAAGUUAAGUUGUCCAAGUUCAUUAACUCAUCACCUGAGGAUAAUGAACCUGCUGUACAGGAAACUUCAGAGAGGGUUGGAGAGUCUGAUGAAGGUAAAGUGAGUCCCCCUAACAUGGAAAUUGAACUUGAGAUUAAAACCACUCCUAAUAAUCUCAAUACAGAACCUACUUAUCAGGACUACCAACUUGUUAGGGAUAGGGAAAGGAGGCAAGUGAAACCCAACCCCAGAUAUCAAAUUAAUAAUCUAAUUGAACUUGCCUUAAAUUCUGGUAAGGCAUUAGAAAAUUCAAAGUUCUCUACCUUUAGCGAAGCUAUGAAUUGUCCUAAUGCUGCAAACUGGAAAGCUGCUAUGAGGGAAGAAAUGAAAUCCUUAACUGAAAAUAAACUUAGAAGUUGGUAAGAAGGCCUAAUAAUCAUAGAAUUGUUCAGUGUAAGUGAAUUUACAAGUUGAAGGAAGGUAAUAACUCAUCUAACCCUAUUAGGUGUAAAGCAGGCUGGUUGCCAAGGGCUUUACUCAGAAAGAAUGAGUGGAUUAUAAUGAAAUAUUCUCACCUAUCAUAAAAAUAAAACUAUAAGAAUGAUUCUUGGACUUGUUGUUCAAUUCAAUUGGGAACUUGAACAAUUAGAUGUCAAGACUGCAUUCUUACGUGGUGAGUUGGAAUAGGAUAUUAUAUGUAUCAACCUCAAGGUUUUGAGGUGAAGGAAAAACAGAAUUUUGUGUGUAAGUUACAAAAAUCCUUAUAUGGGCUCAAACAAAGCCCAAGGCAAUGGUAUAUAAGGUUAGACACAUAUGGGCUAAAAAUUGGGUUCAAGAGGAGUGAGUAUGAUCAUUGUCUAUAUUUUAACAAUGCUAAGAUUGGAAGUGAAGUAUACCUUCUUCUUUAAAUAGAUGAUAUGCUUCUAGUAGGUUCUAGUAUAGCUGAAAUUGUAAGACUAAAGAACCUCUUAGAAUAUGAGUGUGAGAUGAAAGACUUAAGCAAUGCCAAGAAAAUCUUAGGGAUGGUUAUAAAGAGAGAUAGACUUAUGAAUAAAUUGACAAUAUCUCAAGAUUCGUAUCUAAAUAAGGUUAUAACCAAGUUUGGUAUGAAAGAAGCCAAGCUGAAAAUGUACCUCUAGCUGCCCAUAUGAACUUCUUUACUGCCCAAUCACCAAAAAUUGAGAAUGAGAUGAGAGAGAUGAGAAACAUUAUAUGUGCUAAUGCCAUAAGGUCUGUCAUGUUUUCAAUGAUUAUAAUAAGCCCUGGUUUCGCGUAUGCUAUUAGUUUCUUAAGUAGAUUUAUGUCAAAUCUGGGUAAACCCCAUUGGGCAGGCUUUAAAUGGUUACUAAGAUACAUUUCUGGAACAUUAACCAUUGGCUUGACAUUUGAAAAGAGAUAUGAGAAUUUAACUCUUGUUGGAUAUGUAGACUUUGAUUUUGCUGGCUAUAAAGCCCAGGAAAAGUCUACUUCUGCCUUUUUCUUUACAUUGGGGAGAAAUUGUACUACCUGGAAAUCUCAAUUACAACCAAUUGUCACUCUAUCUAGUACUGAGUUAGAAUAUAUAGCCAUCACUGAAUCUAUGAAAAAGUGUUUGUUGCUGAAAGGAAUUUUAAGAGAGUUAAAUUUUUUGCAAGAAACUUCAACUAUUCUUACUGACAGCUAGAGUGCUUUACUAUUGAGUAAGAACCCUAUGUAUCAUGAGAGGUCUAAACAUAUUGAGGUGAAGUAUCACUUCAUAAGAGAGAAGAUAUCUUCUGGUGAUGUGAAUCUUAAGAAAAUUCACAUUAAUGAAAACCCAUCUGAUAUGGGUACAAAAAUUUUAUCUGUUAAUAAGUUUAGAUCAUAUUUGUCUAUUCUCCAUAUUGACAUAGGUUAAUUUCUCUUGCAAGUACCUUGGGCAAUGAUAUAGGGCUAAGUCUGUUUUAUGUGUAAAAUUUAGCAUACUUGAGAUAGUAGGUGGUUUGCGAACCAAGGUGAAGAUUAUAAAAUCGUGUUUCUCAAAUCUACAACUUUAGUAAGGGUAAAACGGUCUUUUGGACGUGGAUGGCCCAAGUGGCAACCCCCAAUUGGCCCAUGGAGCUUCACGCGAGUUGUGUUUCUUUAACUCUCAUCCUGGCCAUUUAUUAUGGAUCAACGGUUGAGAAUAAUUCUAAUGCACUUACUAUGGUAUUUGAUGGGUCUCUGAUUUGGAACGUUUUCAAUUGGUGGAAAAGGAGACUUUUGGCCUCGUGUUUUCUCUCUCUAGCUCUUCGAGAGAUUUUCUUCUUCAUCCCUUUUUUGGUUCUGAUUCUUAUGGUUUUUCAUGAGAUUAUUGUAAUUUUAGAAGUAUCCUAUAAAACUCUUCUUGCUACAGUAACUUUGGCCAGUUGUUUGGCCUUUGGUGUCGGGUUUGGUCCGGUAGUUUGAGUUUCUUACAUUCUUGGUGAUUGAGGGUUGAUUUGUGUGAGAUCCUUUGGAUCGAUGAUCAAAUCCGGUGUCUGAGUGUGGUCUCAUAGUUGUCACUGUCUCUUGGAGGGUUAUAACCCCCCAGAUUAGGCAUUUUGACCGAACCGGGUGAAAAAGUUCUUGGGUUCUUUACUAAUUUUCUAUGAAUGAUUGGCCAUAUUUCAUACAAGCAAACAAAAGAACAGUUAAAAUCCCAACACUAUAGAAAGAGAACCAACUGCAAGUUUUAAGGAUUUAAUCCUAGCAUCAUAUUGUGCCAAUAAUACCCACACAAAGGGAAGGCCGUACAAUUUUAAGAUAAUAUCUUCGAUGUGAUUCUCCUAAAGGUUGGCAUUUCUCUAACUCUUACUUUCCUAUUUUAUUUAUUUACACUACUCAGGAUGUUAUCGAAAUUAUGAAAUUUAUGCACAAAUCAUAUAAUUUCUCAAUAGGCUAAUCGUUUGCCUUAUUUGUACGUAGAUAUAGGUGUAUAAUCUUCAAGAGGCAAAGUCAUUUAACAUGUUGUGAUUCUAAGGGAAGACAAUGUGAAUUAAAUAUAUUUUGUAACUAUAUAUGCCUGUGUAUUACGUUAGUAUACUUCUAUCAUAAUAUUUUAGUUGUUUAAAUUAUAUUCUUAAUUCUAAGAAUAAAUCAUAUGUCUUGUGAUACAUGUGUUUUACAUGCUUUUCCGUGUUUUUAAACUUGAUAAAUAUAUGUAAAUUGAGAGAAAAUCUACCUAAUUUAGAGUAAAUAUUGUUAUUGUAGGUAAAACCAGGUCUUGGAGGGAUUUGGAAAAAAAACAAGAAUUUUGAGCUUAAUUUAAGUUGGUAUAGCAUUUAGGAUUUAGGGCAUCGAAGGCUAACCGGAAUGCAUGGGAUUAAUAAGAAGCAUUAAGAAUGCAAUUGGAAAAAAGAAGUAAGUUUCGAGGUCACAAUUCAAUAUAAGUUCAGGUAGAAUCCCUGAUUGUUGGGAUCAACUGCUAGAAGCAAACCGUAGUUAGAUCGUUGUUGAUAUGAAGGUCAAUUUGCUACGGUCCAGGCCGCAUGAAGCAAACAGAUUCUUGAUUCUGAAUAGACUAGGAAAUUCAAUAUUUUUUAUUUAAAUUUUGGGGGUAUUUUAUGUCUUCCGAUGGCACGAAUUAUGGGGCUAAUCUAGUACUAUAUAAGGACCUGUUCUAGGCCAAAACAAGGAAAGUAUGCACGGGUUAUUCCCAUCACACAAAUAAGAAAAAGAGGAGAAAUACAAGUGAGAAAAGGAAGAAAGUUAGGGUUUCAAGAUUUGUACAAGAAUAGUGUGAAUUCUUGGCAAAGAUAAUUUUUUCUCAUUUUUCCUUUUGACUCGGUGAUAUACUUUGAAAACUCUUUUAUAUUUUUCUUCCACCAUGAUUUGUAAUUAAACCAAAAGUAGAACUGAAUGAUUUUAACCUAGUUUUGAAUCUUAUUUUAAAUUAUUGUGUUUUGAUCUUCAAUUAAUGUUGUGGUAUUUCUUUUGUUGUAUUUUUUCAUAUUUUGAAAUAAUUGGUAACUAUGUCAUUGAUUUGUGAUGAGAUGAGCUGUUAAUUUAGAGCAUAUUGUAAAAAUUGAAAUUUUGGUAGAAGGUAGAAAUAUACUUUUACUAAUUCUACCGUCCUUAAUUGAAUUAUUUAACGAUUAAAUGGUUUUUGUGAUUCACGUAGAGAUAUAGUGAAUUGACAUAAUUGAGUCGAAUUAGUUUGAAUUCGAGUGAGGUAAAUUAAUUGAUAUAUAAGAGUUUGACUGAAUAUGGAUAAUUUAUUGCUGUAAAAAUUUGUUGAUUGAGAUUAAGAGGAUAGCUAUGGUGAAAUCAUGUACCAUAACAAUUUUCAUACAUCUGCCAAAACCCUAAAAUUUCUAUUUUUUGUGCAUUUUAAAUUAUUUUGGUAGAGUUAUCAUAUUUAGUAUCAUAUUUAAAAUCACUUUUACACUUUUAAUUGUUUUUACUCAUAAUUAGAAAUAGUUAAACCAAUAGUUAUAUAGAUAAUUAUUGUGGGAAUAAUAGUUGACAAUCUUAGAUCCAUUUUAUUACAUGUUAAUUGACAUCCUGUACUUGCAAUUACACCACAAUAAGUUCUUGAUGUCGUUAUUGGGACUUUUUUUAAUAUUGAUUUAAAUUAUUUCUAGCUUCUUUUGAUUUUUUGAUGUCUUUUUCUUUUUUAUUUUUUUUUUAUUUUUAUAUUUAGCUAAUAUAUUUAAAUUUCUUAAUUUCAAUGUCAAUCAGGGAAUGGAAAGAAUCUAGACACCAUUAACAAUAUAAGAUAAGAAAUCGGAACAUUGAUGAUGCAAUAUGAUAUACUUAUGGGAGAUGUCUUUGCCGUGGCGUGAUAUGAUCCGCAUGCAAAAUUUGAUGAAGGUGAUAUGUUUGUGGGAGAUUUACUCGCCAUGCGACAAUUUAAUAUUAGGGGAUAUGCACUUUCCAUAGUUGAUGACGUGGAAUUGUUUCUCCUAAUGACCAUUAGCAAGCAUUAGUUACUAUUUUCGAAAAUUAUGAGAAUCGCCUCUAUUGCGCUUCAGAAUAAUGAGUGGGAACGUGACCCAAAUAAAUUCAGGUUUUGAAA